AGGGAAUCUUCCACAAUGGGCGAAAGCCUGAUGGAGCAACGCCGCGUGUGUGAUGAAGGCUUUAGGGUCGUAAAGCACUGUUGUAUGGGAAGAAAUGCUAGAAUAGGGAAUGAUUCUAGUUCGACGGUACCAUACCAGAAAGGGACGGCUAAAUACGUGCCAGCAGCCGCGGUAAUACGUAUGUCCCGAGCGUUAUCCGGAUUUAUUGGGCGUAAAGCGAGCGCAGACGGUUGAUUAAGUCUGAUGUGAAAGCCCGGAGCUCAACUCCGGAAUGGCAUUGGAAACUGGUUAACUUGAGUGUUGUAGAGGUAAGUGGAACUCCAUGUGUAGCGGUGGAAUGCGUAGAUAUAUGGAAGAACACCAGUGGCGAAGGCGGCUUACUGGACAACAACUGACGUUGAGGCUCGAAAGUGUGGGUAGCAAACAGGAUUAGAUACCCUGGUAGUCCACACCGUAAACGAUGAAUACUAGGUGUUAGGAGGUUUCCGCCUCUUAGUGCCGAAGCUAACGCAUUAAGUGUUCCGCCUGGGGAGUACGACCGCAAGGUUGAAACUCAAAGGAAUUGACGGGGACCCGCACAAGCGGUGGAGCAUGUGGUUUAAUUCGAAGCAACGCGAAGAACCUUACCAGGUCUUGACAUCCUUUGAAGCUUUUAGAGAUAGAAGUGUUCUCUUCGGAGACAAAGUGACAGGUGGUGCAUGGUCGUCGUCAGCUCGUGUCGUGAGAUGUUGGGUUAAGUCCCGCAACGAGCGCACCCUUAUUGGUAGUUGCCAGCAUUCAGAUGGGCACUCUAGCAGACUUGCCG
rnacentral:rRNA from 1 species